rnacentral:rRNA from 1 species
CCCCCAUCCCCCCUCUCCCCCCUCUAGAAGACUCGUCGCCGCGGCCGCCAUUCCCGUCCGCCUCCUCCUCCCCCCCUCCAGUAAACCCUAGCCGCCGAACCCCCAGCCCCCCGCGCCAGCGCCCGAAUCCGUCGCCCCGCUCGACCCAGGGCUCGCCGAUUCCGGGCCGGCCCGCCGUGGGCUCUCCGUUUCCGCCGAUUUUUUCUUUCCGGGCAAACAUUUUUUCCGGGGGGAUUUCCGCCUUCAUCCGGUGGAGACAUGGGGAGCCGGAGGGAGGAGGAGAGGAACGAGAAGAUCAUCCGCGGCCUCAUGAAGCUGCCGCCCAACCGCAAGUGCAUCAACUGCAACAGUGUGGGGCCACAAUAUGUAUGCACCAAUUUCUGGACCUUUACAUGCUUGUCAUGUAGUGGGAUACACCGUGAGUUCACUCACCGUGUUAAAUCAGUGUCAAUGUCUAAAUUCACUACCCAAGAAGUGCGGGCUCUUGAACAGGGUGGUAACCAGCGAGCACGUGAUAUCUACCUAAAAGAUUGGGAUUGGCAGCGAAUGAGAUUGCCUGACAACAGCAAACCAGAUAGGAUAAGGGAAUUUAUCAGAACUGUUUAUGUAGACAAGAAGUAUGCUGGUGCGAAGUCCACCGACAAACCAGCCACUGAUAGUGAGAGUGUAAAGGGCAAUGAAAGUGAAACAAGAAGACCUGACUCCUAUCAUUCAUACUCGCAAAGCCCACCUUAUGAUUUUCAGUAUGAGGAUAGACGAUAUGGUAAGCAAGUUAACACGCUUGCUCGGAGGCCUUCGGAUAGGGCACUCUUUGAUGGGAAACUCGGCAGCCUAUUGUACAGUCCUGGUCGUUCCAAGGAUCAGAUGCAUGAAGAUCGAUUUGCUAAUGAGAGUCACGGAUCAAGAUUUUCUGACUUUUCAGCCUCAAGCACCAGUGACUUUAGAAACGAUGUGCUUUCUCCUAGCUCUCAGGAUACAGGGUACAGCAGCCCUUCUGUUCACCAUUCAAGAAAUGUAUCAGCUGAAAAUCCUCAAUCCCAAAGACAUCCAAAUGCAGUUUCACAAAUAGACUCUAAUGGAGGUCGUCGUUCACAGCGAACAGCUUCUUCUGGGAGUUUUGGAUCGUUUGAUGGUAGCUCACCAUCUAAUAAAUCAGUUGAUUCAGGUGUCCUACCUGAUGCAUCUACAGAAAGGCCAGUGCCCUCUGCUGCAAACCGUCAGAGUGGGGCAUCUUCUGUAGCUCAUUCUACACAACCGUAUGCCUUGCAGCAGAGUGCGAAUUCUUCAGCCAGCCAAAUUGCCCCCCAAGAAUCUCUGCGGCAUUUGCCUGUUUCAGCCCAAUCACAACCACAACCAACGGCUUUCACUAAUCAAGACCUCUUUGACAUGUCAACAUUGCCGCAACCCGUUGUUUAUGCUCCACCAAUAGAUUUGUUUGCCGGCUUUAAUCAACAGACUGCAUCAGUUCCUAAUGGUCAUUCGGAUGUUGUUAAAGAAGCUGUGCAUAAUGCUGUGGUUCAGAAGGUUGUCACGACUUCAUCGUCUGUAUCAGCAGAAGCAGUCCCCACAUCUCAUCCUGUGCACCAAGAUCUCUUCAGUCUGUCAAUAGCGCAGGACCCAGCAACUUCCUCUUCCCCUCCGUCAGUGGAUCUGUUUGCUGGCUUUGACCAACAGCUGCCACCUACGUCUAGUGUUCAUCAUAUUACACCAGCAGCUCCAUUGCCUGCUAAUGAAGGGUGGGCAUUCUUCGACACACCUCAAUAUGGUUCGUCAACUUCUGUUUCAAAUGUGCAAGCUCAGGUGCCUGCUGCAUUGCCAAGUGUUGUUGCCAAAGCAAUUGAUCGAUCAACAUUGCCAAAUUCACCACCAAGUGCCAUCAUGUCGCAAACAUCUCCGCCUACUAUGGACCAGUGGAGUUUAAAUGCUGAAGAGGUGAAAAUCCCUGUCUCCAAGGAAAACUCCCAGGACUGGAAUGCCUUUGGUGAAUCCACUGGGAACAUGCCUAAUAAUGUGUUUGCAUUCAAUGAUAUGCCUCAAGUAGCACCUCAUCAAUUUGCCAUACCCAGUGUUCCAUACAUGGAAUCCAGAACUUCGCAGGACUUGGUUAGGGGUGAGCCUGAAAGGUCAACUCCUGGGGAUAUAUUCCCUGGCUUCAAUGUCUCUCCUGGUGUCCUGGCUGAGCCAUCAUUUCCUGCACCACUUCAACCCCAACUGGGCAUGGUGUCUCAUGCUGGAAAAUCAACAAAUCCGUUUGACAUGGCAUUUGAGUCUGAUGUUGAAGCCAUCGACAUGUUUAUGGAUUUGACCUCACUACAAGCAACAUUGCCGGAUACUCAUCUUCCCGCAGAAUACUCCAUCAACUUAGCAGAGCCAUGGAUGUCUCAGAAUUCUACCGUGCCAUAUAUUCCUUCUGCAUCUCAGGGAGGGUUGUCGUACAUCCCGGGGCAAGUACAAGACUCCCAUAUGCUGAACUCAGCACAGCAAGGACAGUUUCCACCAAGAAAUCCAUUUGAUGAAUGAGAGUUGCUGGUGAAGAACGGCGCUGAUGAUGAACAGAUGAGGAGAGCCGAUUUGCACCGCUCGGAACCCAAAAGGACCAUCGGGUGUACUAUAUGCUUGAAACCAGAAACAGCACAGUAGAUAUCUUUCGAUUUCACUGUCUCACUCUCAGCUUUCCUGUAUAUUGCUAGAAAGGAAUGUGCAGAAUUCUAUAUGGCCGGUGCGCUGGAGUCUUUUCACCUGAAGCAAAGCUGCUGUGUCCUUCAGCUCUGUUGUAUAUUGCUGUGUGGUGGUUUUGUGAAAACCAUGAGUCUGCUUUUAUUUUCCACAGUCUGUCAUUUGCCCGUGGUUUGGGUCUGUGUUCUAUUUGAAUCAAAAUAGGAUAUUAUUGACUCAUUUUCAGAAGCAGGGGAUCAUCCGCAUUCUUCGGUCCUUCGUGAUCUUUAUCUUUAAGCAAAAGUACGGUGGCUCGUCAACUGACUGAAUUUGUUGUGAGAUGUUACUUGAAUUGGUGCUAGCUUGCCUUGUUCAUCA